AAGAGAGAGAGAGAAAGGAGAAGAAGUUAGGGUUUGGAAGAGAGGAAGAGCAGAGAAGACAAACCACCGUUAGAUCGAAUCAAGGCAAGAAACUUCUAAACAAUAUUUCUCUCGGUGCUGGAAAAGGAGUUUGGGUGGUGGAUUCACUCAUUCCGGCAAGAAAAUCUGAGAACGGACAAAGUUUCUUGAAGUUCCUGGACGAGAAUCGGACGAAAAUCGGAGUUUAGUCUGACUUCGGGUAAACCGAUCGAAAACAGAAAAUGAGAGAGAAAGAGACCGCCACGCGUCGACCGGCGAACGGAAGAGCGCGGCGGAGCCGGCUUGCGUCACGUGGCAGCGUUCCACUGCUGCGCUGAGUCGGGUCGACCCGUACGCCCGCCGAACCGGUUCGGAAACCCGCGGUCCAACCCGACGUUUCCCGCCAAACACUGCGCGCCACGUGUCGCGCUCAGAAAAUUUGAAGGUAAGUCCGCGGCCGCUGGGGUUCGAAAUGCGGCAUUGCCCUGAGCGUGGAGGCUGCGUGUGUGGGCGUGUGCCGGCGCGUGUGGGGACCUGCUGGCGCGUGCACGGCGCAUGGGACCCCACUCUCUCACCCGGCCUCCGUUUGCUUGUUUUUCGCCCCGAUUUCAACUUUGAUCCUAUUUUUAUGUGAAUUAGGACCUAUCAAGGAAAUUUCAGAAUUUUUGGAACCUUUUCCGGCAAAUAAAUUCAAGCUUGGGAAGGCACGCAUCACCCAAGUCAGUAGCCAUUUGGAUUCCCACAAGCAGUACUUAACCGCUAGGAACAAUCAUGCAUGAUACCACCCAUAAACUUAGGACCUAGUAUAUUAAUAUAGAAACUGGGAAAAUGAAAUGAAUAAGAAAAGCUAGAUAUGAAAUGUUUGUUAAAUCUGUUUUGAUUGAAAUUCUAAUAAAGUAUGUAUGCAUGAGAUGGAUGGAAAAUUUGUGAAAUCUGCGCUCUGGGUAAAUAUGGACUUUAUUUCCCGUUGAGCAUGUUUGUUAAUAUUGCAUGAACUGUUGCGUGUGAACUCCUACGCAUGAUGAUUGUUUGCGUUAUCUUUUUUGUUGAAUAUGAAGAAAUUAUGAGCGUAGAUUAGGGUGCUUGUGACUAAGUAGGCUAGACAAGAACGAGAUUCUAGAUUGGGAGACCUUUAGAAUACUGUGUAUAUACACCCGCGAAACGAUUACUGGCAGAUCCAGAGCCCAGAAUUCCAAACCCGAUAGGUUUGUGAGACCAGGCACGAGAAUCUUAGAGAGGCAUGAAUCCAAGUCUAAGCCACCAAGUUCCACCCUAGAAAGGAUAGUAGGACACGACGGUAACUAUAGGUAGCCCGCUAGAGUUGUGCAGUGUGAGUAGUGUCAUCAGAACCUCCACUUCCCUCUCUGCUCCGAUACCGUACCGUCGAGACAGAGCUCUGGUACAAAGAUCGUUGAGCUUGGCAGAUUCGGAUAGGAAAGUGUGACAGGUGCCCAGACCUAGUGGUGAUAGCUAAGGGGUCUUCUGAACAAGACUCCUGGGCCGUAGAAACCUGUCCCUGAGUGGGGGACGUAGAGCCACGUAGGAUGACUUAGUAGCUGACCGGCACACAGAGGGUCACACCCCGAAUUUAGUGGAUGUAUGGUCCUGUGAGAGGGUUGUCUAACCUCUACGGAUGAUGUUCAGAGAGAGUCACGUAUUUUAGAUCCAGCCAUACGAUCCCCUCAGAUUUACUUAUGAGGUCGCCCCUCGCCUUAGGACACUGAUCAUUUCACUGCAAUAGAUGGGCAAGCCUCCUAAGAUACAGAAAAGAGAGUUGUAGCUUAGAUUACUCUCCUUAGAAACUCGAGAAAGACCGUGGAUACCUACUAAGAUAAGGAAGCGAAAA